rnacentral:rRNA from 1 species
GGGGAAUAUUGGACAAUGGGCGCAAGCCUGAUCCAGCCAUGCCGCGUGGGUGAAGAAGGCCUUCGGGUUGUAAAGCCCUUUUGUUGGGAAAGAAAAGCAGCCGGCCAAUACCCGGUUGUUCUGACGGUACCCAAAGAAUAAGCACCGGCUAACUUCGUGCCAGCAGCCGCGGUAAUACGAAGGGUGCAAGCGUUACUCGGAAUUACUGGGCGUAAAGCGUGCGUAGGUGGUGGUUUAAGUCCGUUGUGAAAGCCCUGGGCUCAACCUGGGAACGCAGGGGAUACUGGAUCACUAGAGUGUGGGAGAGGGUAGUGGAAUUCCCGGUGUAAGAGUGAAAUGCGUAGAGAACCGGAGGAAACACAGGGGGGAAGGCGACUGCCCGGGGCAACACUGAAACUGAGGCAAGAAAGCGUUGGGAGCAAACA